rnacentral:rRNA from 1 species
UACAGAGGGGGCAAGCGUUGUUCGGAAUUACUGGGCGUAAAGGGCGCGUAGGCGGCCGCCUAAGUCAGACGUGAAAUCCCUCGGCUCAACCGGGGAACUGCGUCUGAUACUGGGUGGCUUGAAUCCGGGAGAGGGAUGCGGAAUUCCAGGUGUAGCGGUGAAAUGCGUAGAUAUCAGGAGGAACACCAGUGGCGAAGGCGGUGCUCUGGGCCGGAACUGACGCUGAUGAGCGAAAGCGUGGGGAGCAAACAGG